CGAGCUGCUUCCUCCCGACGCCAGGGGGCGCCUGCCUCGCCGGCGGCGGCCGCCUCUACAGCUUUGGACGCAGGGGAAUGAGAGGAAACCCAUUCCGGGUGAGCGACGGGGCGGGGCUUGUAGGCCUCCCCCAAAUGCUCCUGCUCUGCUGCUAUUUCUAGAGUUUUCUGCCCUGAGGACUUUGUUUGCAUUGGAGAGCUGAUGUGUGGACUCCAGACCUGGACUGUAGAAUUUAGAGGUAUAUCCUCUCCUGAGAAGUGCAAGCAGAAAGAAGAGUCUGCACUGAUCCAGGGAUAUGAAGACUAAUAACAGAGGAGGAAAAAACACCCCCAAGAACAAAAAGAAAAAUGCACGAAAGAGCAGUAGGAGCGGUGCUAAUGUCCAAGGUGCU
rnacentral:lncRNA from 1 species